GAUGAAGAACGCAGCGAAAUGCGAUAAGUAAUGUGAAUUGCAGAAUUCAGUGAAUCAUCGAAUCUUUGAACGCACAUUGCGCCCGCCAGUAUUCUGGCGGGCAUGCCUGUUCGAGCGUCAUUUCAACCAUCAAGCCCCAGGCUUGUGUUGGGGACCUGCGGCUGCCGCAGGCCCUGAAAACCAGUGGCGGGCUCGCUGUCACACCGGGCGUAGUAGAUUUUAUCUCGCUCAGGGCGUGCUGCGGGUUCCGGCCGUUAAAAAGCCUUUUUUACCCAAGGUUGACCUCGGAUCAGGUAGGACUACCCGCUGAACUUAAGCAUAUCGAUAAGCGGAGGA
rnacentral:misc_RNA from 1 species